rfam:Anopheles gambiae str. PEST chromosome 2L, whole genome shotgun sequence.
CUAAUGGCUCUAUUCAGGGCCAUAAAAAGGAUAAACAAAGGGAAGG